UACGAAGGGGGCUAGCGUUGCUCGGAAUCACUGGGCGUAAAGCGCACGUAGGCGGACUCUUAAGUCGGGGGUGAAAUCCUGGAGCUCAACUCCAGAACUGCCUUCGAUACUGGGAGCCUUGGAGUCCGGGAGAGGUGAGUGGAACUGCGAGUGUAGAGGUGAAAUUCGUAGAUAUUCGCAAGAACACCAGUGGCGAAGGCGGCUCACUGGCCCGGUACUGACGCUGAGGUGCGAAAGCGUGGGGAGCAAACAGG
rnacentral:rRNA from 1 species